CCUACGGGGGGCAGCAGUGGGGAAUAUUGGGCAAUGGGCGAAAGCCUGACCCAGCAACGCCGCGUGAAGGAAGAAGGCUUUCGGGUUGUAAACUUCUUUUGACAGGGAAGAGCAGAAGACGGUACCUGUCGAAUAAGCCACGGCUAACUACGUGCCAGCAGCCGCGGUAAUACGUAGGUGGCAAGCGUUGUCCGGAUUUACUGGGUGUAAAGGGCGUGUAGCCGGGCUGACAAGUCAGAUGUGAAAUCCGGGGGCUCAACCCCCGAACUGCAUUUGAAACUGUUGGUCUUGAGUUUCGGAGAGGAGGGGGGAUUACCUGGUGUGGCGGGGA
rnacentral:rRNA from 1 species